CAGGGAUCCUGAAGUGGCAGAAGUGCAGAGACAGACCUCGUCUGAACCCCAAAGAGUCAACCAGUCCAAGGCUCUCUUCCUUGCUCUUCACAGAUCACUAGCAGUCCUCCAGCUCCAGCCCCCAUACUGAUGAUGUAAUUAUUUCCCAGCGGCACCUGGGAGCCUCGGCCACCGUUCGGAGGCAUCGCUCACAGCCAAUGACAAUUCAAAAAGGCACUCCCAUCAAAACCCAUUGAAGCUCCAUUGAAGCUCAUUCUCUCUGUCUUUCAAUUAACAGGAUAAAAG